rnacentral:miRNA from 1 species
AAAGGAGCUUCAGUUGGGGAGAUACCUCCACGAGAUCCAGCUGUAAGGCAUUUUCUCAAUUAGUGAU